AACUUAUCAGAUCUGGUUAAAUGCCUCUUAGAUAUUGACAGCGACAGGACACCUGCUUGAAGCUUUAGGUAAUAAAGUAUAUAAACACUUUAGAAUUUUAGAUGAAGGAAUAUUUGUGAAGUAAAUGUAUGUGCACUUAUAAAGAAACACAAUUUGUGACAUGAAAGUACAAAAGCGUUCUGUUCUUCUGCUAUGGAUUUUGAUGAUGUUGAUUUUCAUUGCGACAGAAGCUAGAUGGCAGACAUCGCUUGGAAAAA